rnacentral:rRNA from 1 species
UACGUAGGGUGCAAGCGUUGUCCGGAAUUAUUGGGCGUAAAGAGCUCGUAGGCGGUUUGUUGCGUCGGCUGUGAAAUCCCGAGGCUCAACCUCGGGUCUGCAGUCGAUACGAGCAAACUAGAGUGUUGCAGGGGGAGACUGGAAUUCCUGGUGUAGCGGUGAAAUGCGCAGAUAUCAGGAAGAACACCCGUGGCGAAGGCGGCUCUCUGGGCCGAUACUGACGCUGAGGAGCGAAAGCAUGGGUAGCGAACAGG